rfam:Sarcophilus harrisii ctg7180001574493, whole genome shotgun sequence.
GAUAUUAAAUUGCUUGAAGUCUAAGUUUUUCAAGGUUGUUUUUUUUUUUUUUGAUAUUGCAAUUAAAAUAAAAAUUUUUAAAAAGGACU